UUUGAAAAAAAUCACAGUUUGGAAAAGUUUUAUUUUCCUCAAUGUAUUAAUCUGAUUGGGCUACCAUAAAAUACCAUAGAUUUUGGUGGCUUAAACAACAGAAAUUUAUUUUCUCACACGUUUGAAGGCUGGAAGUCCAAGCUUAGGAUGCUCACAUAGUCAGGUCCUGGUGAGGACUCUUCCUGGCUUGUAGACAGCUGCCCUCUCCCUAUGUGCUCAUGUGGCCUUUGUUAUGCGAGGAGGAGGGAGAAAGAGAGGAGACCGCUUCCUCUUUUAAAGCCCCAGUUCAAUCAGAUUAAGGCCUCAUUUUUAUGAUCUCAUGUAACCCUAUCUCCUAGGUAAAAGUCUUAUCUCCAAAUAGAGUCAUAUUGGGGAUUAGGACUUUAACAUUUAAAUUGGUGGGUUUGGGGGGGUGGACACUUAAGCCCACAGCACUCAAUAAUUUUUAUUCACAGAGUAUCAAGUGUUUUCUAUUUUUGAUGAGUAACUUCUCUGAUUUCCAAACAAUACAUUUCACCUAGUAGUUGAGGUGCUUUUGAUUACAAAUAACUCACUCAAGUAGCUUAAAGAAAUUGAUAAGUAAGAAUACAGAGUUCAUUCUCAAAAGGCCUCAUGAGGGACUGAAACAAUGUCAGGAAUCAGGCAACUACUUUUCUUCUGGCUUUCUGUAGCCAUAAGGUCUCUUAUCUCUCUCAUUCAUGUCAUAGCUUGUUUCCUUUUUGCUCUUCCAUUCUUGUGGCAGCCUAGGGCCACUGUGUAACUCCUGAGUGUGUAUUACCUCAGUUCUAGUCAUAGCAGGCAGGGACCAACUAACAUCUCUGAAUCCUAAUUCCAUUGUCCUGAGAAACCCCAUGUGGGUUAGGUAUCCAGUUGGGCUUUGGUGCAAAAGGGAAAUGUGGUCAUACAGUUUAAAGUAGGCUGUCAGUGUUUGCUCUUGACAGUCUCGAGAGUUAAAGCCUUGUACUACCUGAUCUUCCUAAAGCUCUUUCAGGUAACUAGGCAGGGGUUACUUUCAUUUAACAGAGGAAAAUAUUAAGUAACUUUCCCUAAAUCACUACUAUGGAAGCUUUCUUCACCACCAUCCUCCGCCAUGUACCCCAACUAUGGCUGACAGUCGUCUGUGCUCUUACAGCACACUGCUAACCUCUGUACCAGCUCAUUGUAAUGUGUAUUUAAUUGUUUAGUAGUCUGAGAAUUGUUAAAGUGUAGGAUCCAUGUGUUAUUAACUUUGUUGGGGAUGUAUGGUAAACUGGAUGAAUUGCCUAAGACGAGAACUAAAAGCCAGAUUCUGGAGGCAGACUAUUCAGGUUCAAAAUUCAACUUUGCUACUUCCUAGCUGACUGAUCAUGGGCAAGUUACUUAACCUCUUCAUGCUUCAGUUGUCUAUAAAUGGACAUAAUAGUUCUCAUUUUCUAGAGCUACUCUGAGGAUUAAAUGAGUUGAUGUAUAGAACAUACUUAAAACUGACAAUGCCUGACAUUAAUAAGUUACUGUGUUGGCUGUCAUUUUUAUAUGUUGCAAUAGUCACUUUAGAGAAACUUUUCCAAACAGGCCUUAAAAUAUCACUUCAGUAAAAUUUACUCUCAAGGCUCUUUCCUUUCCUGCUAAGUCUUCCCGACACUAGAAAUAGGCACUCUUUAUUAUACCCUUCAAGACUAUUCAUAAUCUGGCUCCAGUCCUUCCUUUUGUACACUUUCUACAUAAAUUCUCUAUUCAAAUUGCAUUUUCUUUUGAUCCAUUCCAUGCUGUACUGUUCGGUUUUUAAAAUUAUCUCUAAACCGUAACGAUUUAGAAACCAGGAACUAUAUACAUUGCAACUCUGUCUCACUGUCACCUCAUAAGAUACAGUAGGCACUUGAAAUAUUUAUUGCUUAAUUGGCACAGAUACGGGCAACUUUUUCAAGACUGUUCGACAAAUUGAAUAUUGUGCAGAUUUGUGCAUGAAUGCUCAAUUUGUGUAGCAAGUUAAUUUUUACAAUUAACUCUUUAAAAAAUUAAAGCACUUGUGAGAAAUUCUUAAAUUAUGACAGCUACAUGAAAAAAACUUAUAAAUCAUUUGGAACUGUAUGAUAGCCAAAAUAUUACACUCCAUAUAUUGCAAAGUAGACCUCCUUCUGCUGGAUAAUUACAGCAUUUCUUCCUUUGAAACUUGUAUAGCAAAGGCAGAGAGGACCUCUUGGCUGAGAAUGUUCACAGAAUUACUGCUGUGAGAGCAAGGGACCAGUUAAGGAAGGGAGAUGACGGAGAAACAUGCAGUUGGACCUGUAUCUUUUUCUCAUAUGUAAUAAUAGCAAUAAAAUCACUAAAAAAGACAUAAGACUUUUUAGCCCUUUUUACUGUUAGUGAAGAUUUGUGUGAAAAAAUUAUUGUAACUGAUAUACCCAAAUUUAAUUAGCUAUAGGAUGAUAAAUGUAUUUCUAAACCUUAGGUAUUUUAACUGAAGUUUACAUAAAAAUAAUACUAUGCCAUAAUUUUAAUUAGUGCUGUUCAACUGGAAUUUGGAAUUAUCUAUCAUCUCUUUACUUCUGCAUACUUUGUGAAUCAAGAGUUUACUAUAUUUUGAUUAUGUCUUUUUUAUUCUUUGCACUCUUUGUUAGUGAAUAUACUUGAAUAUGGAAUAUGACAUUAAUUAUUUUAGGCAUAACAGAUGAGUUUUUAUUAAGAGUACAUUAGAGUGAGGACUUUUCUUCUUUUUUUUUCUUCCAGAUACUCUAGAUGAGUAUUUUGAAUAUGAUGCAGAGGAGUUCUUGGUCUCUUUGGCUUUGCUAAUAACAGAAGGACGAACACCUGAAUGUUCAAUAAAAGGUCGAACGGAAAGUUUCCAUUGCCCUCCAGCACAGUCUUGUUACCCAGUAACUACCAAACAUGAAUGUAGUGACAAGCUGGCCCAGUGUCGCCAAGCCAGACGAACCAGGUCUGAGGUCACUUUGUUGUGGAAGAAUAAUCUUCCAAUCAUGGUGGAAGUGAUGCUACUACCAGACUGCUGUUACAGCGAUGAUGGGCCCACCACAGAAGGAAUUGAUCUAAAUGAUCCUGCAAUUAAGCAAGAUGCAUUGUUAUUAGAAAGAUGGACCUUGGAGCCAGUUCCUCGACAGAGUGGUGAUCGAUUUAUUGAGGAGAAGACUCUUCUGUUGGCUGUCCGCUCAUUUGUGUUUUUUUCUCAGUUAAGUGCUUGGCUGAGUGUCUCUCAUGGUGCUAUUCCACGAAAUAUUCUCUACAGAAUCAGUGCUGCUGAUGUAGAUCUACAGUGGAAUUUUUCACAGACUCCAAUUGAGCACGUGUUUCCUGUUCCCAAUGUUUCUCACAAUGUGGCCUUGAAAGUCAGCGUUCAGUCCUUGCCCAGACAAUCUAAUUACCCAGUUUUGACCUGUAGUAUUCACACUAAUAUUGGCCUUUAUGAGAAAAGAAUUCAAGAACAUGAACAUCAAACCCAUCAGGACCGCAAUUCUAAUGAAGCAGAACAGUGUAGUACAAAUAGUUCACAGCGUCUGUGUAGCAAACAAACUUGGACCAUGGCACCCGAGAGUGUAUUACAUGCAAAAAAUGGCACAGCUACAGAAUAUACUACAGCCAUCAAAAAUGUCAAACUAUGUCCAGGCACUGGCAAUAAAUCUGACUAUGGGACAUCUCAAGCCAAUAUUCUGAGCUUUAGUAGUAUAGGACAUAUAAAGUCACAUGAAAUAUCAAUGAGAACUUUAAAAUCAUUUUCAAUGAUUGAUUCCAGUGUCUCUAGCCGCCAGAGUUCCUGGCAGUCAGUUGGUGAGACUAACCCUUUAAUAGGUUCUUUAAUUCAGGAGCGACAAGAAGUUAUUGCAAGAAUCGCCCAGCAUUUGAUUCAUUGUGAUCCAAGCAGUUCACAUGUUUCUGGACAUCCAUAUAAUACUCAAGAGUCUAGUUCACUUCAUUCAAAACUUUUCCGGGUUUCACAAGAUAAUGAAAAUGUGAGAAAAUGUAAAGAAACAUUCUCCAUUUCUUUCGGUAGUCCAGAGAUUACUUCCCCAGAAGACUCCAAUGAAGGGAAAAUUCGACUAAAACCAGAAACUCCUCAUAGUGAAACUUGUGUUUCUAAUGGUCUUUAUUCUCGCCAGUCUGUUGGGGAGACUAAUCCUUUGAUAGGAUCUUUACUCCAGGAGCGGCAAGAUGUUAUUGCAAGAAUUGCUCAACACUUGGAGCACAUUGAUCCAACAACAUCCCAUGUCCCCCGGCAGUCAUUCAACAUGCGUGACUCCACUUCAGUCCCUUCUAAAGUGUUUAGGAGUUCAUAUGAAGACAAAAAUUUGUUGAAGAAAAAUAAGAAUGAUUCUUCUGUUUCCAUUUCUCAUACAAAAUUUUCCUUGUUAGGAGACAGCAGUGAUGGGGAAAACUUAAUACCUAAUAAAUCUGUUAGUUCUUUACAAUGCAGUGGUAAAGAAAAAUGUUCUUUGAGACCUCAAAUAAGAAAUCAGUGUCAGAACAAUCCUAGUGAAAUCAUCCAAAGUACAUAUCAGGAGACACAGAACAAAGCUACUAGUUUAUUGACUUCUUCAAAUAUAUCUCAUUGCAAAGAAAAUAACAUAGAUUUGACAAGCAGAUUUAAGGAGCAAGAAAUUAGUAAUGGAAUUGAUAAGCAGUAUUCAAAUUGCAAUAGUAUGGACAAACAGAUUUGCACAAAUAAGUAUACGGAAAAAAUAAUAAAAAAUGAGAAUUGUAACCCAGAAUCCUUUGACAAUCUCCAAUUUGAUAAUUCAAAAAAAAUUGACUCAAAAAUGAAAGUUACUGUGUUGGAAAAGUCUGAAUAUUUGAACAAAUAUGAAAAUAACUGCUCAAAUAAAGACUCUAAAAAGCCUAAGACAUGUGAGCAAAAUACUCAACUUAAUAGCAUAGAAAACUAUCUCAAUAAAGAUAAUGAAGGUUUCAAAUGCAAAAAGUCAAUUCAAUUAAAAAGUGAACAGGAUAAGAAAGAAGAUUCAACUGAUGAAAAAUCUCAAAAAUGUUCACAGAAAAGAAGUACAAAAGACUGUUUGUCUACGUGUGAACGGCUAAAAAAUACAGAGGUGUUGAGGACUACACUGAAACAUUCAAAUGUCUGGCGAAAACAUAAUUUUCAUUCCUUGGAUGGAACCUCAACCAGAGCCUUUCAUCCUCGUACUGGAUUGCCACUUCUUUCAAGUCCUGUUCCUCACAGAAAAACACAAUCAGGUUGCUUUGAUCUGGAUUCUUCAUUACUGCAUCUGAAAAGCUUAUCAUCUAGAAGUCCUCGACCAUAUUUAAACAUUGAAGAUGAUCCAUGUAUUCAUGAAAAACCAUUUUUGAGUUCUAGUGCUCCACCCAUAACAAGUCUUAGUCUCCUAGGAAAUUUUGAGGAAUCUGUCUUGAACUAUCGUUUAGAUCCCCUCGGCAUUGUUGAUGGUUUUACUGCUGAGGUAGGGGCAAGUGGUGUUUUUUGCCCCACACAUUUGACUCUUCCAGUUGAAGUGUCAUUCUACAGUGUUUCAGAUGAUAAUGCUCCCUCUCCUUAUAUGGGUGUGAUUACUUUAGAGUCCCUUGGUAAAAGGGGUUAUCGAGUACCUCCUUCAGGAACAAUACAAGUGGUAUGUGUUUUAUAGCCUACAAUUGCAAUAAUCAUUCUCUCACAUACAUAUAGAACUUAGCCCUUUCUCCUGCUACUGCUGCUGCAACAACUUUGACCUUAUUUAAUCCUAAUAAGACCGUGGUGAAGAUGUUUGUUGUGAUAUAUGACUUACGACAUAUGCCAGCCAAUCAUCAGACAUUCCUACGACAAAGAACUUUUUCUGUACCUGUUAAACAAGAAAUGAAGAGAAGUGUUAAUAAAGAGAACAUACGACAUACAGAAGAACGGUUAUUACGCUACCUCAUACAUCUGAGGUUCCAGAGUUCUAAAUCUGGAAAGAUCUACCUCCAUAGAGAUGUACGGCUCCUGUUCUCUAGAAAGUCAAUGGAGGUCGAUAGCGGUGCUGCAUAUGAACUCAAAUCCUAUACUGAAUCGCCAACAAACCCUCAGUUUUCACCACGAUGUUGAUAAGGAGUGACUAUUUAAAGUAUUUGCUCAGUACUCAAGUUUGCAAGUAAAAAUUAGCAUAGAAUAGAGUGUACCAAAUUAACAAUCAGGAGAGUGGACCCACUCCUGUUAUCCUGGACCAGUUUUUAUUAAAGGAUUCCUGAAAUGAGAUCUACGUAUUCCAAGUAGACUGGAAACACUCAUGUCCUAAUCCUUUUUGUACUGUUGAAACCACUUCAUUGGACAUGUUGCAAUAGCAUACCACCCCCCACCCCCCGUUAGAUUAGUGUUUACAUGUUUUAUUUCUCAGUUAUUUAAUAUUUAAUGUUUUCCUUAAUACUCAAGUGAUGUUUGUCUGUAGUGUUCUAAUGUAGCACAAAUCCUAUGUAAAAUCAUACUAUGUAUUUUUGACAUUAACGUUGAAAUCUGAAAUAUAUGCACAAGUCUUUAAUUUUGUGUGAUGUGUUUUAAGUGCUAUUCAUUUAAGUUAUUGAAAAUGAGAAUGAAAUGUUGAGCUUCUUUAAAAUUAUCGCACUAUGCAAGCAUGUGUAUUUUUUACAUAUUUCAAGUUUAGUUUUUACAACACCCCAUCCAGGUUGCUAUCUCACAUAGUAGUCCUUUAACAUGCUGUAUUAGCAGUGCAAGGUGUGGACUAAGCUGCUUCACAUUCCGCUUGCAAGUUCAGAUCAUCAUGCCCGUUCAUAUUCCUUCUAGGAUUCCUUAUCCCAAAAACAAUUCUAUUUUUCCUUAAUCCCUACUAUAGAGGCUUUACAUUAAAUUGCUGUCCUAUGCUAGUUAACUUUCUCAAAUUGUUAAAAGAAUAUGUACUUUGAAAACAAAUUAGUAUUUAUAUUGUAAAUAUAUGCAAAAAAAC